AUACGUAGGGUGCGAGCGUUACUCGGAAUCACUGGGCGUAAAGCGCGCGCAGGCGGCUUGAUAAGUUGGAUGUGAAAGCCUACGGCUCAACCGUAGAACUGCAUCCAAAACUAUUAGACUAGAGUGUGGGAGAGGAAGAUGGAAUUAGUUGUGUAGGGGUAAAAUCCGUAGAGAUAACUAGGAAUACCAAAAGCGAAGGCAAUCUUCUGGAACACUACUGACGCUGAGGCGCGAAAGCGUGGGGAGCAAACAGGAUUAGAAACCCCAGUAGUCC
rnacentral:rRNA from 1 species